AGAUAGGCCUAGCCAGAUCAACCCAUGGCAGAGACCACAACCAAAUUUGGGAGCUAUAACUGCUGCGGAGAGCAGCAUUGAACACAUUGUAUACUCUGCAUUCAAAGAACUGUUGGAGUUGUGGAAUCAAUGGGUUCAAGGCAAUAGACAACCAAACUGGCCAGUGUUACCAGGAACUUCUUCAAGUGCCUCAUCUAGCGCAUCUUCGGUGUCAAGUUGGAACGGCAGACCCGGUAACGGCAACAUCUGCAUUUGCUACGACGAAUCCAGAAACAUUCCUUGGAAUGUAAGAAGAGAAAUUGGCGCGUAAAUUCAAAUCAAAGAUGUCAUCCCGGUCAAGAAUUUUCUAGAAACAUAACUUCAUAUGUUCUCUCUCUAUCUUUCAUCGAGUUAUAAUUUGAGGUCAACAUCAUUAUGUUUCAUUACUCCAUUACAAACUAACCUGAUUAUUGUUCAUUUUUUAACAUUGUUGAAUUAAAUACUUUUUACUGUCAUAAAU